rnacentral:rRNA from 1 species
GUACCUGGUGGCGAGCGGCGGACGGGUGAGUAAUGCCUAGGAAUCUGCCUGGUAGUGGGGGAUAACGCUCGGAAACGGACGCUAAUACCGCAUACGUCCUACGGGAGAAAGCAGGGGACCUUCGGGCCUUGCGCUAUCAGAUGAGCCUAGGUCGGAUUAGCUAGUUGGUGAGGUAAUGGCUCACCAAGGCGACGAUCCGUAACUGGUCUGAGAGGAUGAUCAGUCACACUGGAACUGAGACACGGUCCAGACUCCUACGGGAGGCAGCAGUGGGGAAUAUUGGACAAUGGGCGAAAGCCUGAUCCAGCCAUGCCGCGUGUGUGAAGAAGGUCUUCGGAUUGUAAAGCACUUUAAGUUGGGAGGAAGGGCAKUUACCUAAUACGUAWSUGUUUUGACGUUACCGACAGAAUAAGCACCGGCUAACUCUGUGCCAGCAGCCGCGGUAAUACAGAGGGUGCAAGCGUUAAUCGGAAUUACUGGGCGUAAAGCGCGCGUAGGUGGUUCGUUAAGUUGGAUGUGAAAUCCCCGGGCUCAACCUGGGAACUGCAUUCAAAACUGACGAGCUAGAGU